rnacentral:rRNA from 1 species
UACGUAGGGUGCAAGCGUUGUCCGGAAUUAUUGGGCGUAAAGGGCGCGUAGGCGGCCUGAUAAGUAGGGGGUGAAAUCCUGCGGCUUAACCGCAGGGCUGCCUUCUAAACUGUCAGGCUUGAGCACAGUAGAGGCAGGUGGAAUUCCCGGUGUAGCGGUGGAAUGCGUAGAGAUCGGGAAGAACAUCAGUGGCGAAGGCGGCCUGCUGGGCUGUUGCUGACGCUGAGGCGCGACAGCGUGGGGAGCAAACAGG